UAUCUGGUUGAUCCUGCCAGUAGUCAUAUGCUUGUCUCAAAGAUUAAGCCAUGCAUGUCUAAGUAUAAGCACUUGUACUGUGAAACUGCGAAUGGCUCAUUAAAUCAGUUAUCGUUUAUUUGAUUGUACCUUUACCACUUGGAUAACCGUGGUAAUUCUAGAGCUUGAUUGGGUGGGGAGAACUUUAGGAGUAAUCAGUCCAAAUAUUACCAUGUGAAUUAUCCUAACCUGAUCACUCAAUAAUUUAAUGAUUUUCAUUAAAGUAAGGAGAGUUCGCAUAUUUGUCAUUUUAUGAAAAAAAGGAUACAGUCUAAUUCU
rnacentral:ncRNA from 1 species